AAUAUUGUUGUUCCUAUUUAUUACUGCUUUCUUCUUUUUAAUCUCUUAUACUUUAGAAGUUAUAAAAUCAAACUAUCUUUUUUGUUGGUGGCGCUAGUUGGCUGCUGUCGGCCGUUGAGACAGAAUCUCAGAAUUGACAUUGACAACACUGAUUACGCGUGAGAGAAAAAAUAGUGUUUGUUUGCUUUGUCUCUGGUCUGUUGUGGUCUCGAUGAUCUCUGAAUAAAACUUUAAAUUACAUUUUUUUCGUGGUGUCAUGAAAUUCGUGAAUUUGCCAGUGUGUUAUACCAUAAAACAAAUAAGAUUGGAGUUGGAUAUCAUAUACUCAUUAUGGCUUUUUCUUUAUAUUAUCGAUACGGCAGGUAAGUAAAGUAAUAAAGUAGGGUUAGGAUAACUCAUUUAUUCUCACGUAAAAGGGAGUGACAGUUAAUAAUUCUUAAUUGACUGAUUGACAGAAUAAAUAGAUACUUUGUUAUUUGUAAGACAAUUUUUGACAGAUUUUAUAUAUAUUUUAUUGCAUAAAUUUCAGCGAAAACAUACGUCAAAUUGUACAAAUUUGAUAAUAAGUUAACAAACAAUUUGGCUGAAAUCAAUAAAUUAGAUGUUUACAUAAAAAUAUCAUCUAUUCAAAUGUUCAAGACACAAAGCGAUGGCACCUUCCAAGAAGAGUGGCGUAUGGAAGUUUAACGUUAAAAUUUAAGGAGACAGUAACUCUGCGAAAUGUAGGCUUUGUCAAAAGGCCUUACAGUUGCUGCUUUACAACCGUCAACGAGCUCUUCUGAUGGAAUGGAAUUGACUAAAGAAGCCGAUAAAAUACCUAACUCUUCAAAAGACAAUGAAUACAUUUCUUUUCCUCCAGCGCCAAAACGUUAAAAGUCUAUCAUGUCAAGUUUUUAAGAAAUUUAUGCGUUUUCGGCAAGUGGUGAUAAAACAUUAAAAAUAAAUAAUGCCUUAAAGGCUUUCGUAAUUUGAUGUAAGUUAUUGUGCCGCAUUAUAAAAUUCCUAGUAAGACGACGUUGACUCGAUGCGUUGAUGAUAGAUACGCAGCAUUUUCAACAGUUUUCAAAGAAAAAUUGUCAACUACUGAAAACCUUACUCUAACUACUGAUAUGUGGUCUGAAACAAUGAGCAUGAGAAGAUUUUUAGGAAUAACAGCACACUAGGGUGUCGAACACAUUGCUGAAAUGCUGCUAAAACCUGUACUGAAUGGGGUUUUGACAUAGAUUAAAUUUCGGCCGUAGUGACAGACAACGCAGCCAAUAUUGUAAAGGUUGUUGAAACAAAAAACAUAUUCCAUGUUUUGCCCACACUUUCAAUUUAGUGGCACAAAAUUGUAUGCAACUUGAUACGAAACUUGAUAACCAAAGUCAAAGAUGGUUUAAACAAAGCAAUAUAGCCAGUAACGAAUUACGUAAAUUAUCCCAGAAAGAAACUAAAUUGAUUCAAGAGGUCCCGACCAGAUGAAAUAGUACAUAUUAUAUGAUCGAAAUAUUUUUAGAGCUUCGCAUCAUCGUUAAUGACAUAAUCAUUCGUCACAAAAAUGCACCACCAAUGCUUACUGCAUUAAAACUGUCAAGUCUUUCUUCGGUUUUACAAGUUCUGCGACCGGUCGAAGCUGCAACCAAAGAAGUGUCAGGUGAUAAGUAUUGUACUAGCAGCAAGGUAAUACCACUUAUCCAUUGCCUUCUAUUAAAAACUAGACCUUUUAAACUCGAAGAAUCUCUUGCCAAAGAGAGCUUGCAGUCGCUGAUUCUUAAAAAUAUUGACAAAAGAAUGAAUGUUUUAGAAAAAGUGUCUCCUCUUGCUAUAGCCACGGUAUUAGAUCCAAGGUUAAAAAAAUGCAUUUUACGGACCUAAUUACUUGCUCUUCAGCUGUGGCAAAAGUCUAAACAUGUAUGACAACUACAAAACACAAUGAGACAGUGGAAUCUGAUUCUUCAGAUCAUUCUGACAAACCAGAAGAUCAUUUUUCUUUGUGAGAUGAUCUUCACAAAUUAGUCCACAUGUGCUGGAAAACGGCGAAGUGUGACGAUGAUAUAUAUAUAGAUAUAUAAUAUAUAAAAAACAUCGAUGUAAUUUCUAAGUGGACACCUCUAGUUUGCCAUUUGCCGCCUUUAAUUUUGACAUUACUAUCUUGUAAACAUCGCCCCACGGAUUUUCGUCGAUUUUCCACAAAGUUCUUUGAAGCCACAUGCUUUACUCUUUUUUAUUGUUUUUAAGGGCAUUGCUCUUCCUUUUGUAGCAUUCGCGUAGUUCCGUAUGCUCCGUUGAUCUCCGAUUCCUUUGGCAGCUCCUCCUUGCUUUAUGGCAUUAACAUCUUAGGGUAUUUAUUUCAUUACUCCACCAGUAUACGGGUUUUAUGUAGGCUCCACUUUUCCUUCUGCAUGUAGAAGUCUUACCAGCAUCUCCGCCUGUCGAUCUGCGUCUUCCGCAGAACUCAUGUUGCCAUCUAGCAACAGCUUAAUUAGUUCUUCGUCUAAGGCUUCGGCCUUUCACCCUCACGUUUGUAACCAUUUUGCGAGCGUUCUCCUUCGAUUUUGGGUGGUUGGGUGCCCGGUCACUGUGAGUGAAGAGGUCACACACCUGCCAGCUUGCUGUCCGCAUCAGGGUUCAUUGUGGUAGUUAGCGCUUCUCUCACCAGUUCAGCCAAUAUUUUUUAAAUAUCAUUUUGAGAUACGCUUGGUGGGAUAUAGCAACUGUAAAAGUUGACCCCACAGAUUUUUGCUCGAGUGUAGAAGGAUUUCCCUAACAGCGGCUUAUCUUGGAAAGCUUUUCCUCCACAUGCCCAUAAGGCAGCUUUGUUCGUGCAAUUGGAGAUCCAUGUUCCAUCGCUUAUGUUUUUGUCCUGUUCAUUGAGUAAAGCAACAUCGACUUUCUGUUCGUAUACAGUCCGUUUAAGGAGCUCUUGUGCAGCUUUGCAGUGGUUGAAGUUUAGUUGCAUGACUCUCAUUUUUUGUUUUUUUUGCACGCUUCUUGGUACAGGGGGCAUUUCUUACUACCUUUGGUGGUCAGUGUUUUCCCUUUCCUUACUCUUACUCACGCUACACGACGGUUUUUUGUCGCAUGACUUUGAAAAAUAGUUUCUCCACACUUGACACAACUCUGGCUUCUAUCGGCGUAGUUAUUGCAUGCAGUCCCGAUAUUGGAGACACCUGAAGCACCUCCUCAAGUUUUAAUUCGCUCUUAUUCUGCACACUACCCAGCAUAUUUUAGUUUUAUGUGCGUCCAGAAGCGUCCUUGCCUCCAGCGCAGGUAGGCUUAUGACCGCAGUUUGAUAUCCUCGGUAUGACGCCCUGAUGUUCCUAAUCGGGUUUGUGUGUAACUGGUUCAUCUCUAUUAUUUGACUGCGUAUAACGUCGGCUAUGUCCUGUUUGCUAGUGAUUUCGUUCAGAUCUCGUAUUUCUUCCACUGUUUCAUGGAUUAGUGCUUUUAUCUGCGCUUGGUUUCCUAGCACUUUCCCUAUUUCAUCUUGAAAUCUCCCGUGGUCUUCAUUUGAGCCUCCUUUAACUCAAGCAAGAAUUGUCCUUUGGCCGCCUUUCUAAUUUUUACACAUUUUCCCCAGUUUCUGCAGUGUGUCAUUUUUCCUAACCGUCCUUAAAAUGUAGCUGUAGGACAUAUCACCGGUUCUCUCAAUGAUUAUGAAACCGGGCGAGGUGGCGGUUUGUGCGGCGCAUGUGACAAGUAAUUUGUACAUACUUGUGCAUAAUUUGCAUGACGUAUGCCUUUUCUAUUCGGAUGUGUACGAUUGUGUUUUGUAAAAAUUUCUGUUUGAUUAGUUUAAAUAGUUUUUGCUUCUAGCCUGGGGUCUAUUGAAGCUUUUUUUUUUUAAUUAGUUUUUUGUAUACCCUCUCUGUGAUUUCGUAUUGGGUAAUUAGAAAGUCUUUCAUUUGUUGCCACGUUGGGCACUUUUUCGUGAUGAGAGCGAUUGCUUCCACAAAAGUAAAGAUUUUUCUGGUAAAGCUGCAUAUAUUUAUCAGUAUUGGGUGCCAGCUGUCUGUGAGAAUAUUUUGUCUCGAUAGAACCUACAAGUAAUUAGAAACAGUGGAUUGCAGUUUUAUAAAUUCUUCACUUGUUACCUUUUGAAUCUAAAGCAAGUUCAUUAGUAUCGUUACUUGGUUAUCGACCAAUAUUCGUUAAUUUUCAUAUCUAGAUUUAAGAGCUCCCCAACUUAAAAUUAUCGUCGUUUAGUGCGAACUCUUUUACUAUUACGCCUGCUUGACCUUUAGUUUUGUAUCGGAGGUGAAACAAUUUUUGCGCUCUUGAUAAUUUGUAAUGGUUGAUGUAAACGGCUGUAAACAUAUCCCGGAAGGACGGCCAUUCUUCAUAUUCUCUAUAAAAUGUUUCUGUGUCACAUGCGGGCACCUCGAGGUGGAUGCCGGAACUUGCCGCCGGAUGUGGAGUAGGUGCAAUAGCUUUUAUAUUUUUUUAUAUUUGGCGAAAGCCGAGGUUUUAAAAUAUUUUGGUAAAUCUGAUGACUCAGUUUCUACUAUGGCGUCAUGAGGCGAGUUCAAAAAGUGUUAAGAUUUUGCUUUUUUAUUUCUAAUAACGAUUCAGAGUUGUCUUGGAUCGGUGAAGAUAAAAAUCGAGUGCAGUGUCGUAUUAAACUGUCUCUCUCAGAAGUGAAUUUGGGGGCGGUUAAAUCUUUGCCUUUUAUUUGCUUUGUAGCAACCUGUCUUGAGCGUGUAUCUUCUGAAGGUGUUUUUUGAUUUUUAUCCACAUUCAUCAUUUUUGUAGUAUGUUAAAAAUUGUCGGAUGUGACAUUGUGUGACAAGCGGUAGGAAGGGUCAAAAGCUUUGUGACAUCAUAUUUCAAAAUUUAUGAUGUUCAAACGCAAAAUUUAUAGGUAAACAAAAAAAUAUUAAACAUUGACAAACGCGAUCAUUAUUUUUUAUUACUUAAGUACAUUGACCAUGAAACUAUGUCUCAUGCAGCAUUCAACGUUUAGAACGGUGUUGUAAUGCAAGUAACCCACUAAAUUUUACGAGAGUUCUCAGUAGUAAAGAUUUGGGUAGGUUUUAGUUGUUGGCAAGUGCUUGCUCAUUUUUUUAUCUGCCUGUGCUUAGGUUGUUUGCAAGACAAGAGAACGUGUAUCAUAGAGUAGGUUCAUGGUGUGCCGAUUGUCAAAAUGGUCCGCUUGACGGAGGGUUACUGACCAACUUAAGAGGAUUUUACCACAAAGGUUAUAAGCGGGUUUCACCAGAGUUUUACCUCUGCGGAGCGCAAAAUAACAGAAUUCAGCAUUUUGAGUGUUAAAUGAGAAAUGUAGUGCUAAUAAACAAUAAAUCUCCGAGCAUCAUCCCAUCUGAAACAAGUUCCAUAUGAUAGUUACUUUCCUAGUGUCGAGAAAUUCUCUGUUAAAUGAAUGAUGACGAUGCUUUAUGGAUGGAAGAAAACGAUGUUGAUACGAAGGAUGUUCCUGACUUCCAUAUUCAGAACGAAAAUGAAGUGCCUGAUUUACCAGUAAUAAAUAAUAUAAAGGAAUGGGUCUAAAGUCCAUGGACACAAUAUGAUUAAGUUUUAUAUUUUUGAAUAGUAUAAGUAAGUGUCUAUUAUUUUCUAACUAGUCAUUUGUUGUCUCUAUACUUUGAAUAUAACUAAAUGUUGAUUUUAUUAAAGAUUAUUCAAUAAAUAUAAGAUAUCCAUAAAA